CAUUCUUUUUGGGUUCUCAUGGCAGUCUUCAGAAACAAUGGGGUUGUUGCCGUGUGGUUGGGGGCUCUCAUGCUCAUGGCUACCCUUCUGUCCUCGGAAGCAAAACCAACCUACAUUGGAUGUUUUGCGGCCAAGCAGAACUGCUUCCCGGAUGAGUGUCAGAAGACAUGCGAGGACAAUGUUGGAAGAGAUACGUUAGGUGAUUGCCAUCGUGAGCGUGACCACAAUAAACCCUAUCCUGGGCUUGAGUGUUGUUGCUUCCGAAAGGACACUCCAGCUCCAAUAAAUGAUAGAUGAUAGAACGCAUUCAUACAUAGGACCAUCCGUUCGAUCCACCUUUUGUGGAUCUAAUAAAUGAAUUUCACAGAAAUCAUAUUAAAAAAGUCAUUACCUACUGCAUCAAGAAGUAUGUGUUAAAAUUAUUGAUGAUGGAAAUAAUAAUAUUAUUGCUUUU